rnacentral:lncRNA from 1 species
GACUUCUUCAGCGGCUGUCCUCCCUCGCUUUUGGAGCUCCGACCUCAGCUUCGCCUGCGAGCUGGGUUGUGUAAAGGCUGGUCAUUUUGGGGCGCUUAGGGGUGGGUGCCGGGGGGCGCGCUUUCCCUCGUGAAGGUCGCUCCAGGAGUCAUGCGUACAUUCGUUCAUUUUGCUCUGGACGCACUGAUGUUCCCGGCUCGCCGCCGUGCCGCAGUCACGAGGCUCUCCGAACGCCUUUCACUGUGUUUCUGUUUACAUUCGCGUCUGCAAGACCCGGCGGCGCGACCGAGGCCCGAACAGAUGGGGUCUUGCUGUGUUGCCCAGGCUGGGCUUGAACUCCUGGACUCAGACGAUCCUCCCGCCUCGGCCUCCCAAAGUGCUGGAAUUACAGAUGGAGAUGGGCUGCCAUGUUGUGAGCUGCCCCAUGGGGAAGAGGCUCACAUGUGAGGAACUGAGGGAGGCCUCCAGAAAACAGCCAGUGAAGAACUGAGACCCUCAGUCCAAUAGCCUAUGAGGAACUGAAUCCUGCUGACAACCAUAUGAAUGAGCUUGGAAGCAGAUCCUUCCCCAGUGAAGCCUUCAUGUGAGACUGCAGCCCACUUGACACUUUGAUUUGUAGCUUGUGACAGACCCCAAGCCAGAAGAGUCAGAUCCCUGGUGUACACACAGUUGCACCUGGACAUGGAUCAAGCCGAAUGUCAGAGUGUCCUUGUCCUUGGUAACCAGUUCCGGCUGGGGAGCCCAAUGCCAGUGCCGAGAGGUGGUGGAGAAUGCCUGCACCCAGGGCAUCCCCUUCCACAUUCACCACCGUGGUGGUCCGGUCCCUGGUGGGAAAAGAAGAGGCAGCUAUUAUAUCUACUGCUGGGCGAUCGGGUCCUGUCACAGGCAGCCUGGAUGCCGAAGGAAAGUCAUGAUUGUGAGGGGCCCUGUUGCUUCCUGGAGAGCAUGCUUCUAAGGCAUUGGCUUUACCUUAUUCUAAAUUGAUUUUCUUUAAACACUUUUUAUUUUUAUAGAAAGAAUAAAAAAGAGCAUAAAGAAGCAAACAAGCCACUCACCCCUAGUCCCCAACUGAGUGAAUCUGUAUGCCCAUUUUAAUCUAUUUCCUUCCAGUCACCUUUCUAUACACGUAUUUUAUAUGUAUUAGACACCAUAAUUAAAAAUCACACAUAAGCCAGGCACAGUGGCUCAUGUCUGUAAUCCCAGCAAUUUGGGAGGCUGAGGUGGGAGGACUGUUUAAGGCCAGGAGUUUGAGACCAGCCUGGGCAACAUAGUGAGAUCCUAUCUCUACAAAAAAUAAACAAAUUAGCUGGGCAUGGUAGAGUGUGCCUGUAAUCCUAGCUACUCAGGAGGCUGAGGUGGGGGGAUUGCUUGAGUCCAGGAGUUCAAAGCUUCAGUGAGCUAUGAUGAUGCCAUUGCACUCUAGCCUGGACCACAGAGUAAGACCCUGACUCUAAUAAGUAAACAAAUAAACAAACAUAUUGGGAUAAUAGUGUGGAUACGGUUUUGUGUCUAGCUUUUCUUCCACUGAAUAAUACACUGUGGGAGUUUCCCUUCUUUUUCUCAUUUCAACGCUACUUUACUGCGGAUGUUAAUCUUCAUAUGUGUUCCAUUGCCAUCGGCAAAUAUAAAUACCAUCUCAAAGAAAAUAUCACUAUCCUUUCCAGAAGCUAGCUUGUUGUGUUAUAGAUUAGCCAAUACCAUUCCCCUGUCCCUGGAGCUCAGAGGAAGUAUUGUGCACAUUUUGAAGAGAGGGAAAAAUGUGAUCUUCCCUGAGGGCACUGGGGAGCUGACUCCCUGCAGAGUGCCGUCCUGCUGUCUGCAGAAUCAGAGGGGAUGGGGUGGCUGGCAGGCCUGUGUGACUUCAGGUCUCCACUGGGCAGCCGGCUUGGUGCCCUGUUUCCCUGUUCCUGGCCAAGCACCUCUUUGAUGCCUCUUCUCCACGCACAGGAGGUGGCUGGGUGAGGAAGGAGAGGGGGCCUCUGUCAGCUCUGGUCCUGUCCAGCUGGCCAGCUCAGGGACGGAGUUCCCUCUGAUGAGGUGUCUGCGCAAUGCAGGUCUCUUUUGCA